UCCUCUCGAUCUUGGUUGAAUUGAGAUAGUAAAAAGAGUUUCUUUUCCUGAUUUAAGUCGUGAGUUUUUAUGCAAGAGCCCAGGUAACCUGAGAUCUGAAUUCAGUGCAAUGUUGUGUUUUUGGGAUCUUUGUGUUGUAUUUAAGAUCUGAACUUGAUUUACCUAGGAAUAACCCAAGGACAUGUGAUACUCCCUUAAUCUACGCCAUGGUUUUCAGCAAACGCCCUAAUCUACGGUUAUUAAUGAAUUCAUUGGUUCUGUAGUAGAGUUUUGGUUCUUUCACGCUCCCAGGCAGACAUCUAAGCCUACAGUUUGCUAUUUGAAAACCUUCAGUUGUCCAUUGCAAGAUGUUUGUGAGAAUUCUAUUUUUUACGAGUUCCUAAUCUCAAAUUGCGGAUAUGAUGGCUCUCUUGUUCAUGAAAAGCUUGAAGACAUAUACCUUUCUUGCAUGCGUCGUCUUAAUUAAGAGUCAUUAUCACUAUAGUAAUUUAUUUAUCAGUGAUUCAGUGUUUUAUGAUGUUCCACAGCAUUAGCUGUAAAUUCUUUGUCAUAUGAAUGUUGGUUAAUUCAUUAGAUGGUUUGUUUAAUAGAUUAGAUAUGCAAAAUUUUCCUACGGACAUGAUUAUUAUAUGAUAGGUUUAAUCAAUCAUUGUGCACAGAAAAUUUUUUUCUGAUAAACUUGGUCUAUUAGUAUUCAAUAGACAGUGGUGUUCAUGAUUCACUGAGCUAACUAUGUUUCUAAAAUUUUUCCUCAGUAACCUAUUUUGUCUAACAAUAGAUUUAUAAUGUAUUAAACAUAACAUUUUCUAGCCUUUUCCCUUUCUUAUAGUUUCCUUUUGCUAGGAUUUUUCUUUUCUGAAGUUUCAAAUAGUUAAGCUAUAAUGUACAUAACCAUUCAAUUGAAUCAGGAACAAGAGAUUACUUUUCUGAUUCCUGAUACAAUAACAUAACACAGUGUCAUACGAACACAAAAUUUCAUGAUAAAGAAAUAUUACAAUAAAAUAUAACAUACCAAGAACCUAAAAUUUUGAGUAUAAAACUAUAUGAUAUGAAAAAUUGUACCAGAAACAUAAAUUUGUUGAUAGGAAAAGUUCUAACUUGAUGCAUGGCAAUAAGCAAGGCAAAUUGUUUCCACAAAAAAGGUCAUGAAGCUGAUUGCAGUGUAGCCGACACCUUUUACAUGGUCGGAUUUGGUGUGAUUCAAAAUUUCCUCUCUCAGCUUCCAAACUUUCAUGAGCUCUGGUGGCUUUCGAUUCUCGCUGCAGUCAUGUCUUUAACUUACUCCUUCAUUACCAUUGCCCUCUCCAUGACCAAAAUAAUUUCAGGACACUUUGAAAUCACCUACAGCAGAGAACAAGGUAAUGAAGAAGGCUAGCUUUAUUGGAGUAUCAACAACCACCACAUUUUAUUUCCUUUGUGGUUGUCUCGGUUAUGCUUCAUUUGGAAACAAAGCACCAGGAAAUAUAUUGACUGGUUUUGGAUUCUAUGAACCCUUUUGAUUGAUCAACCUUGCCAACAUCUGCAUCAUUAUCCAUUUGGUUGGUGCAUUUCAGGUAUUUUUCCAUCCAAAUUUUUCAGCAGUUGAGACAUUGAUCGCCAGAAGGCACCCAAACAUAAAAUUUCUGACCAAUGAAAAAAUAGGCCAAACUGUUUGUCACAGGAGAAUCUUGCUAGGAUAUUUGCAUACUUGAGACGUUCAGGCUUGUCCCAAGAGGACAUUCUUCGAGGAAUUUCUUUUGUUCCUUGACUGGAUGGAUUAGGCCACUAUUAUCUUAUAUUUUGGAUGUAUGAGACAUUUUGGGUAUUAGAGACAAAUAUAUAAUGUUGGAUGCUUUUUAUUGUGAGAUAUUGGGUAAUCAUUAUGUAUGUA